rnacentral:rRNA from 1 species
UACGAAGGGGGCUAGCGUUGCUCGGAAUUACUGGGCGUAAAGCGCACGCAGGCGGUUUGCUAAGUCAGGGGUGAAAUCCUGGAGCUCAACUCCAGAACUGCCUUUGAUACUGGCGAUCUCGAGUCCGAGAGAGGUGAGUGGAACUGCGAGUGUAGAGGUGAAAUUCGUAGAUAUUCGCAAGAACACCAGUGGCGAAGGCGGCUCACUGGCCCGAUACUGACGCUGAGGUGCGAAAGCGUGGGGAGCAAACAGG